rnacentral:lncRNA from 1 species
GACCAACUUCCAUACUUGGGCCCACAAUGGUUGUGAUUGGGCUUCAAUUAAAAUAGGUUUAUUAAAUCUUGUAUCACUCCUACUCAAAUAUAGUGGGCCCAUUUAUCCUUGUAGGGUGGAAACAUUUUAGUCUUUAGUUUCUUAUAGAGAUAAGUCUUGACCUAUCUCACAAUUUUUAGGAAAAUCAUUCUCCAAGAAUAUAGCAUCUCAUGAUUCAAAUUCAGUUACACGACAAUUUUCUUGUGUGUGUAU